UACGAAGGGGGCUAGCGUUGUUCGGAAUUACUGGGCGUAAAGAGCGCGCAGGCGGCCAAGUCAGUCGAAUGUGAAAGCCCCCGGCUUAACUGGGGAGGGUCAUUCGAUACUGCUCGGCUCGAAGACAGGAGAGGGAAGCGGAAUUCCCGGUGUAGUGGUGAAAUGCGUAGAUAUCGGGAGGAACACCAGUGGCGAAGGCGGCUUUCUGGCCUGUUCUUGACGCUGAGGCGCGAAAGCUAGGGGAGCAAACGGG
rnacentral:rRNA from 1 species